CUAAGAUCAAAGUGUAGUAUCUGUUCUUUUCAGCUUAAUAUCUGAAAGUUCCCUCAUUGAGGGACCAGUAUAUUAAACUGAUUUUUGUAAAUCGACGAGAUGUUCGGGGCUCGCUCCACUCUCGUCACGGGUCGGCCCGGCAUUGCAGUGCC
rnacentral:snRNA from 1 species